rnacentral:rRNA from 1 species
AGUGAACGCUGGCGGUAGGCCUAACACAUGCAAGUCGAACGGCAGCACAGUAAGAGCUUGCUCUUACGGGUGGCGAGUGGCGGACGGGUGAGGAAUACAUCGGAAUCUACUUUUUCGUGGGGGAUAACGUAGGGAAACUUACGCUAAUACCGCAUACGACCUACGGGUGAAAGCAGGGGAUCUUCGGACCUUGCGCGAUUGAAUGAGCCGAUGUCGGAUUAGCUAGUUGGCGGGGUAAAGGCCCACCAAGGCGACGAUCCGUAGCUGGUCUGAGAGGAUGAUCAGCCACACUGUAACUUAGACACGGUCCAGACUCCUACGGGAGGCAGCAGUGGGGAAUAUUGGACAAUGGGCGCAAGCCUGAUCCAGCCAUACCGCGUGGGUGAAGAAGGCCUUCGGGUUGUAAAGCCCUUUUGUUGGGAAAGAAAAGCAGCAGGUUAAUACCCCGCUGUUCUGACGGUACCCAAAGAAUAAGCACCGGCUAACUUCGUG